GACGAACGCUGGCGGCGUGCCUAAUACAUGCAAGUAGAACGCUGAAGGAGGAGCUUGCUCUUCUGGAUGAGUUGCGAACGGGUGAGUAACGCGUAGGUAACCUGCCUGGUAGCGGGGGAUAACUAUUGGAAACGAUAGCUAAUACCGCAUAACAGUAGAUGUUGCAUGACAUUUGCUUAAAAGGUGCAAUUGCAUCACUACCAGAUGGACCUGCGUUGUAUUAGCUAGUUGGUGGGGUAACGGCUCACCAAGGCGACGAUACAUAGCCGACCUGAGAGGGGGAUCGGCCACACUUGGACUGAGACACGGCCCAGACUCCUACGGGAGGCAGCAGUAGGGAAUCUUCGGCAAUGGACGGAAGUCUGACCGAGCAACGCCGCGUGAGUGAAGAAGGUUUUCGGAUCGUAAAGCUCUGUUGUAAGAGAAGAACGAGUGUGAGAGUGGAAAGUUCACACUGUGACGGUAUCUUACCAGAAAGGGACGGCUAACUACGUG
rnacentral:rRNA from 1 species